UAGGGAAUCUUCGGCAAUGGACGAAAGUCUGACCGAGCAACGCCGCGUGAGUGAAGAAGGUUUUCGGAUCGUAAAACUCUGUUGUUAGAGAAGAACAAGGACGUUAGUAACUGAACGUCCCCUGACGGUAUCUAACCAGAAAGCCACGGCUAACUACGUGCCAGCAGCCGCGGUAAUACGUAGGUGGCAAGCGUUGUCCGGAUUUAUUGGGCGUAAAGCGAGCGCAGGCGGUUUCUUAAGUCUGAUGUGAAAGCCCCCGGCUCAACCGGGGAGGGUCAUUGGAAACUGGGAGACUUGAGUGCAGAAGAGGAGAGUGGAAUUCCAUGUGUAGCGGUGCAAUGCGUAGAUAUAUGGAGGAACACCAGUGGCGAAGGCGGCUCUCUGGUCUGUAACUGACGCUGAGGCUCGAAAGCGUGGGGAGCAAACAGG
rnacentral:rRNA from 2 species